UAGGGAAUCUUCCGCAAUGGGCGAAAGCCUGACGGAGCAACGCCGCGUGAGUGAUGAAGGUCUUCGGAUCGUAAAACUCUGUUAUUAGGGAAGAACAAAUGUGUAAGUAACUAUGCACGUCUUGACGGUACCUAAUCAGAAAGCCACGGCUAACUACGUGCCAGCAGCCGCGGUAAUACGUAGGUGGCAAGCGUUAUCCGGAAUUAUUGGGCGUAAAGCGCGCGUAGGCGGUUUUUUAAGUCUGAUGUGAAAGCCCACGGCUCAACCGUGGAGGUUCAUUGGAGACUGGAAAGCUUGAGUGCAGAAGAGGAAAGUGGAAUUCCAUGUGUAGCGGUGAAAUGCGCAGAGAUAUGGAGGAAAACCAGUGACGAAGGCGACUUUCUGGUCUGUAACUGACGCUGAUGUGCGAAAGCGUGGGGAUCAAACAGG
rnacentral:rRNA from 1 species